rnacentral:sRNA from 2 species
ACCACUGCCAAUCUAUCUAUCACUGCUAAUCUAUCGCUGCUAAUCUAUCGCUGCUAAUCUAUCGCUGCCAACCUAUCUACUGCUGCCAACCUACCUACCGCUGCCAACCUAUCUAUCACUGCUAAUCUAUCACUGCUAAUCUAUUGCUGCUAAUCUAUCGCUGCUAAUCUAUUGCUGCUAAUCUAUCGCUGCUAAUCUAUCGCCGCCAACCUAUCUACCGCUGCCAACCUACCUACUGCUGCCAACCUAUCUAUUGCUGCCAACCUAUAUAGGGUAAAUCAUGGUCCCAUUUGGUCCCAUUUUGUAAAAUGGGACCAAAUGGGACCAGGAUCACUAAUUUAUUAGUAAAACAUGAUCUGGGACUAGAUUUAUAAUAUAAACAGUGUAAAGUGACUAAUUUGCUAAACACUAUAUGGGACCAGGACUAAGAUAUCUAAUAAUGGGACUGAGGAAAAAUUUGGUCCCAGUCCCAUGCAUGGUCACACAGCCAGUCUAGUUCUUAUUCAAUAAGCUCUGACUUGUGCUGCAGGUUUAUAACAUUGUAGAAUAAGAGUAAG